rnacentral:misc_RNA from 1 species
GCAGAUUCAAAGGAUGAUAUAUAAUUGAAGGAAUCCCACUUACUAUCUAUAAAUUUAUGUUUCCAUGUUAAUUUCUAGUAAGAGGCAACAACUGAGAGUGCUCUAGAAAACUCACUAGAAAUAACCUUUUGCCUCAACCAUCAUGGCAUCAGUGCAAAUCCAGAAACCUGCUGAGGAGACCAGCCUCCAAGAACACCACCCGGCCAGCCUUUUCCAAACCCACACCAAUGAUGAGCACAGCAAGAGCCAAG